rnacentral:rRNA from 1 species
AUUGAACGCUGGCGGCAUGCCUAACACAUGCAAGUCGAACGGGGCAGCAAUGCCUAGUGGCGGACGGGUGAGGAAUACGUAGGAAUCUGCCCUUAAGUGGGGGAUAACCAGGGGAAACCCUGACUAAUACCGCAUGAUCUCUUCGGAGCAAAGAGGGGGACCGCAAGGCCUCUCGCUUCUGGAUGAGCCUACGUCUGAUUAGCUAGUUGGUAGGGUAAAGGCCUACCAAGGCGACGAUCUGUAACUGGUCUGAGAGGAUGAUCAGUCACACCGGAACUGAGACACGGUCCGGACUCCUACGGGAGGCAGCAGUGGGGAAUAUUGGACAAUGGGCGCAAGCCUGAUCCAGCAAUGCCGCGUGUGUGAAGAAGGCCUUCGGGUUGUAAAGCACUUUAGCCUGGAAAGAAAAAACUUUGGUUAACACCCAAAGUCUUGACGGUAUCAGGAGAAUAAGCACCGGCUAACUCUGUGCCAGCCGCCGCGGUAAGAC